UGGCGAACGGGUGAGUAACACGUGGGCAAUCUGCCCUGCACUCUGGGACAAGCCCUGGAAACGGGGUCUAAUACCGGAUAAUACUUUCCUCUGCAUGGGGGAGGGUUAAAAGCUCCGGCGGUGCAGGAUGAGCCCGCGGCCUAUCAGCUUGUUGGUGGGGUGAUGGCCUACCAAGGCGACGACGGGUAGCCGGCCUGAGAGGGCGACCGGCCACACUGGGACUGAGACACGGCCCAGACUCCUACGGGAGGCAGCAGUGGGGAAUAUUGCACAAUGGGCGAAAGCCUGAUGCAGCGACGCCGCGUGAGGGAUGACGGCCUUCGGGUUGUAAACCUCUUUCAGCAGGGAAGAAGCGAAAGUGACGGUACCUGCAGAAGAAGCGCCGGCUAACUACGUGCCAGCAGCCGCGGUAAUACGUAGGGCGCAAGCGUUGUCCGGAAUUAUUGGGCGUAAAGAGCUCGUAGGCGGUUUGUCACGUCGGAUGUGAAAGCCCGGGGCUUAACCCCGGGUCUGCAUUCGAUACGGGCAGACUAGAGUGUGGUAGGGGAGAUCGGAAUUCCUGGUGUAGCGGUGAAAUGCGCAGAUAUCAGGAGGAACACCGGUGGCGAAGGCGGAUCUCUGGGCCAUUACUGACGCUGAGGAGCGAAAGCGUGGGGAGCGAACAGGAUUAGAUACCCUGGUAGUCCACGCCGUAAACGUUGGGAACUAGGUGUUGGCGACAUUCCACGUCGUCGGUGCCGCAGCUAACGCAUUAAGUUCCCCGCCU
rnacentral:rRNA from 1 species